rnacentral:rRNA from 1 species
AGAGUUUGAUCCUGGCUCAGGACGAACGCUGGCGGCGUGCUUAACACAUGCAAGUCGAGCGGUAAGGCCCUUUCGGGGGUACACGAGCGGCGAACGGGUGAGUAACACGUGGGUGAUCUGCCCUGCACUCUGGGAUAAGCCUGGGAAACUGGGUCUAAUACCGGAUAUGAGCUCCUAUCGCAUGGUGGGGGUUGGAAAGG